ensembl:lncRNA
AAGGUUAAAAAUGUAAAUUUAUUGACAUACAUUUGUACCUUUUGUGCAUUCAUUACAUUUUUAAAAAAUGCAUCAUUUACACACUUGUUUGUUUUUCUUUAGAAUUUCAAAUGGGAAGAACAGAGCUUUGUCAACAACACGACAUUCCUGGAGAACAGCAGCAAAAGCAGGAUGGAUAAGGUCUCUUCAUUUCACUAAUACUGUAUUGAUUGUUUAGAACACACACGGUUUUUCCCUUCAUUAACUCUGUAAAUGAUUGUGUACUACAUUUUGCUUUCUAGUUCCUCUAAAUUCUGACCAAGUUUGCUUUGUCCUAAUUUUUUACACUGUUUUUUUUAAAAUAAAUUAAUCUUUGGUCUGUAAACUCAGAGGCCUGUAGGGGCUUUAAUAAACGCCCAAGUCAUUAUUCAACCCAAAUAUGCUGUUCAAUAAUAUUGAAUGAAACUAAAUUGUAUGAUUUUUCAUUAGGGAAGGGUGUGCAGCCAGGAGAGGAGAAAGGUGAAGAGGAAGGGUGAUUGUUACUCCACACACACCUCUCUCAUUGUGGCGGCACCAUGAAUGGGUGUUACCAUGGAGAUCAGGGCCUGGUCAGUCAUCCCAAAAGCCAUUUCUCUCAGGUACGUCUGUUCAUACUGAUCAAUAAUGACAAAAUCAAUCCAUUCCUCAUCUUGAAAAAUAUUGUAAUUCUUUUUCCUGAUACCUGAAACAUUCAUCUAUUUCUAGAGGGACACAGAAGAUGAGGUAAGAGCGUACAUUUGCAACAACCUGCAACAGGUGAGUUAGAAGACAACUUGUGAAAGAGCCGAUAAAGUCCUGUGAAAAUGCUAUUUGAGCCUCCUCAGCUCACUUUUCUUCUUUCUUUUUGCCAGGAUCAAUGUGAAAACUCAGCAGUUUCCCUCAGUGUUGAGAGGAUCUUAAACAUCGCUUGUGUUCUUUUCCAUCUGAAUCAGGCACUGAGUGGUGAACCUUUUCUUGCAGGAGUUAUGAGAGAGCUUGGCUGA